AACAUCGCGCACCUGCGGGAACCUGCGGAGGGAUCAUUACAGAGUUGCAAAACUCCCUAAACCAUUGUGAACGUUACCUAAACCGUUGCUUCGGCGGGCGGCCCGGGUCCUUCCCGGCGCCCCUCGGCCCUCGCGGGCGCCCGCCGGAGGUAAACCAAACUAUUGCAUUGUAUGGCCUCUCUGAGUCUUCUGUACUGAAUAAGUCAAAACUUUCUACAACGGAUCUCAGAUCGGAAGAGC
rnacentral:misc_RNA from 1 species